AACGUCAGCAGAAAGACUUUCUGCCGCGGUUCGCUCACAAAGCGUUACUAUAGGCAGAGGCUCCCUGUUCUGAGGCUGGCUGUCAGCACUCCCCCAGCUGCUGUCUCAGAGAAAGCAAGGGAGGGAACCUUCAAGGGCCAAGCCCUUGUGGGCAGGUAGCAGCUCACCUGCAGUGAGUCGGAGAAGUUGGUGGGGGCCAGCAAUGAAGGACAAGCCUGUCUCCUCCCCUGAGAACUGAAAGGCAAAAGGCACCCAAAAUUGGGAAGGGAUUAGCAGCCUCACCAAACACUUCUGGGUGAUGCGAGUGCUGCGCAGUUCAGAACCCUUGGAAGGAAGAGAGGGGGACGGGUCCAGCGGCCUUCGGGUGCGGUGAUGGAGGGCUCUUCGGUAGCCACGCUGCCCGCCUCCCACGCACACCUUAACACGUCCUGGGGCCCCGGGCCAGCGCUACAGCCCAAAUAGACCCUGCAGCCGCAUUUUCCCCCAGGCGGAGGCAAACCCUGGCUUCACCUCCCCUCACCAUGACUUGUAGGGCAGGGGGUCCCUGGGCCGCCUUCCCUGACCUGAAUGAGUGAGAAAUCCUUCUUUAUUUUCAGUGGGGGUGUGACCUGGGGAGAUAAAGAAAGGACCACAGACCUGGGGAGUGGGGCCCUGCACCCUCUUGUGCCGGGAGUGGCCUCCUUCUCUGCUCCCUCCCCCACCGGCAGGCUGGGGGUCUUGGUUCCCACUGAAACUGGAGCCGCUCCCCGGCGGGCAGAUGAGAGAUAAAGAAGCCCUGCGGCGCCGAAGCGCUGACCAGCAGACCCGGAUCCGGACUUUUCCGCGCUCCAGAGCAGCACCCGAGAUCCUACUUGCCCGGGUGGCACCAACCCAGCUCGGAAGAAAUGGGUCAGCUGAGCAGCUCCUCCGGUGCCACGCGGUGUCUCCAGGCACAGACAGCUGUGCUUGAUGGCGUAGUGUGCACGCGCAAGACUGCAGGAUGAUGUCCUGUAUGAACCCUGUAUUGGCCCCUUCACUCUCAGCCACUCGUAUACGCAUAUGUGUGUGGAUUCGGCAUGUGUCUAGGGACAGGUGUGCACCUUUACACAUACGUGAUGUGUAUGUGCACACAUUUGUAGAACCUUCCAGCAUCUAUCCUGCUGGCUCCUGCAGACACGUACAGGGCUAGCUGCUCAUAAAUCAUCAUUACACCACGCAUUUACACAGGCCUUUUCAGCUUGGGCAUGAUUUUCACAAUCAUCCCGGGAAAUACUCUGCUUUCUAAGUUUACAGAUGAGGAAACCAGCCAAGAGAAGCUAAUGGGUGCCCGUGUGCACACACUCUGAGAGAGAUCGAGGCCAGCCAAAUGAACUUGGGUGUGUCUGCUGAAUGUGCUCAUAAAUGGGUCUGUUUAGCGCCUCAAGGGACCUCAGGUCCGGCGGUCCUUGGCCCUUAACCAGGUUUCCUGGGAGACCCACCGCGCCUGGGUGUAGGGGUCUCAAUUUGUGUGCUGAUAAGCGCUGUCUUCUGGAGAGGAUGCCCAAGGGGGGAAGUCGAGAGCUGGCCGGAGCGCUGCUGAGGCGAUCCCGGCGGUUCCACGGCCUUGGCUGCCCACGCGCAACUGGGUUGCAAAGCCUGGAGGGCCUUGGUCUCUAAAGCAGCCACGUCAGGCAAACGUGCGAUGAAAGGAUCCUUUCAGCCCAGCUGCAAACCCAGGAACCCAGGGUUGCCGGAGCAGUGAGGCAGUUCCUGCUAUCUCGAAUCCCUAGCGCCCCUACAAGACCCGGAGCCCUCCAUGCCCAUUUUACAGAUGUGAUUAGUCGGAGGCUAAAGCGGUACAGUGAGUUGCUCCAGUUCAACACCAACUGAGUGGCCAGAGUAGGGACUGGAAUCCCCAGUUAAGUGUGUCUGGAUCCUUGGCCCACAGUCCCUCUGUCUCCAGCACGGAUCGCUGGUCCCUCUUGUUCCACGUCUCCCGUGAGGUCAGGAGCCAUCCCGCUACUACCCUCCGACUUCCCACGCCAAGAACGCGAAGACUCUCAUAGCUCUCACCAGCAUCAUUUAAAAAGUUUCUACACGCUUGGAAUCUGUUGCUUGAGAACAAAUUCCGUGUGCGUUGGGUUUUGUUUCUUUCUAACCCCUUCUGAGGCAACUGGUCCCCUUCCACCCUCUAAGCCCUUGCCGUCUCAGAGUGAGGCUGCCUAAGGGCUGUAGUCUGACCACAUCUAGGGGGUGCCCCUGGGCCUCGGCGCCGGGCUCCGGCAGACUGAGGUCGCUGGUCCCUGGGCUCCAAGGCCGCUCACCACCCCGCAGAGUCCAGGAGCUGGAAGGGAGCCCCGCGGUUCGGCGAGGUCGCCGUACGGGCUCACGGCCUCGACGCUGCCCUCUGCUGGUGCGGGGCGACAUUACCGCCGCCUCCCUCGGCGGCCCAGGAGCUGCACCUACAGGAGGGGCUCGCGCAAAGCCUGGCGACCCCAUUCUCGCUGGGUCCCCAGAAUGGCGGCCGCACCUUCAGCCUCUGACGAGAUCCUCCCGUAUUUCUCAAUCCGAGACUUCUGCUCCCCGUCGACACCCGAG